UUUCCGUAGGUGAACCUGCGGAAGGAUCAUUCAUAAUAAAGCGUUUUAUGGCACUUUUUAAAAAUCCAUAUCCACCUUGUGUGCAAUGUUAGAUCUCGUCAAUCUUGGCGAGAUUUUUAUACAUCAACUCAUUCUUUAACUAAUUUGUCUGAAAAAUAUUAUGAAUACUUAAUUCAGAAUACAACUUUCAACAACGGAUCUCUUGGCUCUC
rnacentral:misc_RNA from 1 species